AGUGAAUAGAUACCCCGGUAGUCCUGGCCGUAAACGAUGCUCACUAGGUGUGGGGCACAUAGCGUGUUCUGCGCUGAAGCAAACGCAAUAAGUGAGCCGCCUGGGGAGUACGUCCGCAAGGAUGAAACUCAAAGGAAUUGACGGGGGCCCGCACAAGCGGUGGAGCGUGUGGUUUAAUUCGACGUUAAGCGAAGAACCUUACCAGGUCUUGACAUAUCCGUGGUAGUGAACUGAAAGGGGAACGACGGAGGCGAAUGCCUUCGAGCGGAUACAGGUGGUGCAUGGUCGUCGUCAGCUCGUGCCGUGAGGUGUUGGGUUAAGUCCCGCAACGAGCGCAACCCCUGUGGUUAGUUGCCAACACGAAGGUGGGCACUCUAGCCAGACUGCCGCCGACGAGGCGGAGGAAGGAGGGGAUGAUGUCAGAUCAUCAUGCCCUUUAUGAUCUGGGCUACACACGCGCUACAAUGGGGUGAGCAGAAGGGGACAGGGCUGCGAAGCCGAGGGAAUCCGGAAAACGCCCCCAGUUCAGAUU
rnacentral:rRNA from 1 species